UACGAAGGGUGCUAGCGUUGCUCGGAAUCACUGGGCGUAAAGCGCACGUAGGCGGAUCUUUAAGUCAGGUGUGAAAUCCUGGAGCUCAACUCCAGAACUGCCUUUGAUACUGGGGAUCUCGAGUCCGGGAGAGGUGAGUGGAACUCCGAGUGUAGAGGUGAAAUUCGUAGAUAUUCGGAAGAACACCAGUGGCGAAGGCGGCUCACUGGCCCGGUACUGACGCUGAGGUGCGAAAGCGUGGGGAGCAAACAGG
rnacentral:rRNA from 1 species